rnacentral:rRNA from 1 species
UACGAGGGGGGCGAGCGUUUGUUCGGAAUUAUUGGGCGUAAAGGGUGCGUAGGCGGUUCCGCAAGUCCUGUGUGAAAUCUUCGGGCUCAACUCGAAGUCUGCACGGGAAACUGCGGGGCUUGAGUGUGGGAGAGGUGAGUGGAAUUCCCGGUGUAGCGGUGAAAUUCGUAGAUAUUGGGAAGAACACCGGUGGCGAAGGCGGCUCACUGGACCGAUACUGACGCGUGAGG